UACGUAGGUGGCGAGCGUUGUCCGGAAUUACUGGGCGUAAAGGAUGCGUAGGUGGAUAUUUAAGUGGGAUGUGAAAUCCCCGGGCUCAACCCGGGAACUGCAUUCCAAACUGGGUAUCUAGAGUGCAGGAGAGGAAAGCGGAAUUCCUAGUGUAGCGGUGAAAUGCGUAGAUAUUAGGAGGAACACCAGUGGCGAAGGCGGCUUUCUGGACUGUAACUGACACUGAGGCAUGAAAGCGUGGGUAGCAAACAGGAUUAGAUACCCUGGUAGUCCACGCCGUAAACGAUGGGUACUAGGUGUAGGAGGUAUCGACCCCUUCUGUGCCGUCGUUAACACAAUAAGUACCCCGCCUGGGGAGUACGGUCGCAAGACUAAA
rnacentral:rRNA from 1 species